UAGGGAAUCUUCGGCAAUGGACGGAAGUCUGACCGAGCAACGCCGCGUGAGUGAAGAAGGUUUUCGGAUUGUAAAGCUCUGUUGUUAGAGAAGAACGUUGGUAGGAGUGGAAAAUCUACCAAGUGACGGUAACUAACCAGAAAGGGACGGCUAACUACGUGCCAGCAGCCGCGGUAAUACGUAGGUCCCGAGCGUUGUCCGGAUUUAUUGGGCGUAAAGCGAGCGCAGGCGGUUCUUUAAGUCUGAAGUUAAAGGCAGUGGCUUAACCAUUGUACGCUUUGGAAACUGGAGGACUUGAGUGCAGAAGGAGAGAAUGGAAUUCCAUGUGUAGCGGUGAAAUGCUUAGAUAUAUGGAGGAACACCGGUGGCGAAAGCGGCUCUCUGGUCUGUAACUGACGCUGAGGCUCGAAAGCGUGGGGAGCAAACAGG
rnacentral:rRNA from 1 species